rnacentral:tRNA from 1 species
GCCCCAGUGGCGCAAUGGAUAGCGCUUUGGUCUUUUAAUCCGGGGGUUUGAGGGUUCGAGUCGCUCCUGGGGUU